AUACAUAACUUAUCUCUGUAAAGGCCUUAGUUCUCCAUAUUUAUGAGUUUUUCAUUUUGGACAGUAAGGGAACGCAAAAAAAGAAAAGAAAGAAAAACGACUCCAGCUCUUCCUUGGUGACACAAUCUUGAUUAAGGAAAGAGCAUUAAAGAAUACUACCAAUCGAUCAAAGAGGAAAUGGGAGUCGAAAAAUGGUUCAGUCUCCACACCACGACAUCACAUUCGACGUGGAAUGGUGUUAACUUCUCCGACCGGUCAAAUUGAGACAUGGCGUCUAAAGCAUUAUGAUGCUGAGAAAUGAUGAACUGGAAUAGAGCUCGGGCCAUUAUAUGAUAAAAUGAUGGAGUUAAGGGGUCAACAUCCUCCAGAAGAACUGUCUGAUAAAGAGAUUAUGGAGCGUGUACUUGGACAUGAUUCGGUAUACUUGCGAGGGUGGGGGCGGUCUCCUAGUGUCACAACUUCUACUUCACAUCGUGAAAAUAUUGUGGGUAAUCAACCAACUUAUGAAGGGUUACUUGAACGACUUAAUGAUACAACUUCCCGCCUUAAUGCUACUAACGAACAACUUAGUGUAGUUGUGGAUAUACUUCGUCAUAACAAUUUGAUGGCACCGCCUCGACCACCUCCAACAGACCAAGCUUCAGAUGCAAAUUUAAGAGAGUCGCCAUCUAUUUCAGUUCAGGAGUCACAAGAUGAUUCUUAGUUUAUUUACAUUAAUUUACUAAGGAAUGAACUUUAUGAAGUUUUUUUUAUUUUGGUCGGGGUAACCUUAAAAUGAUAACUUUAUGACUUAUUUUAGUAUUGAACAUUAUAAAGAAUUUUAGCAUUAAACAUUUUAUUAUUGAAUGGUUUUUUUCUAGUUUAUUUCUAAUAUAGAACAUUUACAAAUAAUUGUUAUUAUCUUUUACCUACACAUAACCAUUAAAUUUGAACAAAAUAUAAAUUGUGUAACAAACCAAUAAAAUAAUGCUAUGUGGGCUAAUAAAAUGAUACCACGUAGG